CCUACGGGGUGCAGCAGUGGGGAAUAUUGGACAAUGGGCGCAAGCCUGAUCCAGCCAUGCCGCGUGAGUGAAGAAGGCCUUAGGGUUGUAAAGCUCUUUCACCGGUGAAGAUAAUGACGGUAACCGGAGAAGAAGCCCCGGCUAACUUCGUGCCAGCAGCCGCGGUAAUACGAAGGGGGCUAGCGUUGCUCGGAAUGACUGGGCGUAAAGGGCGCGUAGGCGGUUUAUGCAGUCAGAUGCGAAAUCCCCGGGCUUAACCUGGGAACUGCAUUUGAGACGCAUAGACUAGAGGUCGAGAGAGGGUUGUGGAAUUCCCAGUGUAGAGGUGAAAUUCGUAGAUAUUCGGAGGAACACCAGUGGCGAAGGCGGCUUACUGGUCUGCAACUGACGCUGAGGCGCGAAAGCGUGGGGAGCAAACAGGAUUAGAUACCCGUGUAGUC
rnacentral:rRNA from 1 species